UAACUUUUAACAAUGGAUCUCUUGGCUCUCACAUCGAUGAANAACACAGUGAAANGNGAUAAGUAAUGUGAAUUGCANAAUUCAGUGAAUCAUUGAAUCUUUGAACGCACCUUGCACCUUUUGGUAUUCCAAAAGGNACACCUGUUUGAGUGUCAUGA
rnacentral:rRNA from 1 species